rnacentral:misc_RNA from 1 species
UGGAGAAAUAAAGUACAGAAAAGAUUUGAAGUAAGUUUAUAUUGAGUACAACAACUAUUAUGGAAAUCAACAGUUAUCAAACUCGCGCUGAGCUGCUUCUUCGAAGCUACAUGCUAUCAGAUUCUUUCAUUGUCUACUCUUCUGUUAUUGGUGGUGUUUUCUCCUGCAAGCUGGUAUAUGAUCUUAGCCAGAUAUUCACCUCUAUUUACUUUAAGCGCUAUGCUGGGCUCUCAAAAUUCCAACAAGUUGAAUGGAAUAACCGGUCCAUAUCUACAGUUCAUGCAAUAUUCAUUACAGCCAUGUCACUGUACUUGGCAUUCUGGUCAGAUCUUUUCUCUGAUGAUCAGCUGUCUGGCCUUGUCAUUAUGCGGAGUUCCACUUUAUCAACCUCUAUCUUGGGGGUUUCUUUGG